rnacentral:rRNA from 1 species
UACGUAGGGUGCAAGCGUUAAUCGGAAUUAUUGGGCGUAAAGGGCGCGUAGGCGGCGCCACAAGUCACCUGUGAAAACUCUGGGCUCAACCCAGAGCCUGCAGGCGAAACUGUGGUGCUGGAGUAUGGGAGAGGUGCGUGGAAUUCCCGGUGUAGCGGAGAAAUGCGUAGAUAUCUGGAGGAACACCGGUGGCGAAGGCGGCAUCCUGGACCAACACUGACGCUGAGGAGCGAAAGCCAGGGGAGCAAACGGG